rnacentral:lncRNA from 1 species
ACCCCUUUGGCCGCCCCCACCCCUCUCUCUUCCACUCUUGCAGCCGCCCCAAUCCCUCUCCUUCUUCCCCAAGUGAUUGCAGCUCCACCCCUCAACCCUAGCCGCCACCCCACCUCUUCCUCUCCAAGGUGGAGCCUCCCCGCUUGGUGUCCGUCGUGUGGGUGCGAGUCUUCCAUGGGAGUUUGGAGGGAGGAAGAAGGAAGAAAAGAAGGAGGAAAGGAGGAACCCAAGGUGAUUUUCGUGAUCAUUUUGUUGUAUUUGUGCUACAAUCCAAUUGGUUAUAUGUUUACCUAUGCAAUUUGGUAGAGGUGCUGUCCAGAAAUUUAGUGGGUGGACGAACAGCAGUAGUUCUAGGGAUUUCUGGGAAUUUUUCGUGGGCAAUUAGUGGGGAUCAGUGAGAGAAUCAGGUAGAUCUUUGUCAUACCUUUCCAACGAGUACUUAUGCGCUCGAUUCGGAGUUAUAAUUUAGGAGAUAUCGUUGUUUGAAUCCGGUUAUGUUGCUGUCCAAAAAAACAGAUUUUUCAGGUGGGUGAACAGCAGUAGUAUUAGCAGUUUCUAGGAAUUUUUCGUGGGUAAUUAGUGUUAACCAGUAUGAUAAUCAUGUAGGGCUUUGUCUUAUCUUUCAAAUGAGUACUUAUGCGCUUGAUUUGGAAUUAUAUUUUAAAAGAUAUCGCUGUUUGAAUCCGGGUAUGUCGUUGUCCAAAAGACAAAAAAACAGAUUACAGGGUUCAUCUUGUGAACUGUUUUGGGCUAAUUAGAUGUUAGAAUUUAAUUAUAAAUUGUAUACAAAACUUUUGGGGAAUUUUAUGUAGAUGCCUCUGAAGUUUUUGUUUGUUACCACUGCUGUCAUAAUUUUAAAGUUAUCAAAUUAUUAAGCAGCGCCGCUGCAGUUUGGUGGGAGUGGGGAGAGAUGUAACCCGCGGCGGGGUUUGAGUUUGUGCGUAGGUGCAGCGUCGUUUAUGAGCCUGAUUAUGUGAAAUUGGUGCACUAAGUUGUGUGUCAAAAACAGGUGGUGGACUUCCGGAUCGUACUUAGGGAUUUGCCCGAACUCCCGGUAAAGGCAAGUAAAUACAGUGGUGGUUGCUACCGUUUGGCUUGCAUCCUAAUCCCUGUCAUUGAGUAUGCAUAAGUUUUAAUUAUGUUAAUCAUUGAAUUCUAUGAUGAAGUUUAUUUAUUUGGAAGUAUUAAUUAUCAAUUGUCUAAUAUUGUGGAUGAUCAUAAUUUGGUAAUGAUAUAUGUGGUUGAUUCCCAUCUUGGAUGAAGUUGAAGUAUUUUUUUGAAUCACGUUAUAUGAAAUGUUGUAGGCAUGACAUGCACAUCGCAUCAUCCAUCUUGCAUUUUGAAGUUAUGUCGCGAUCCUAUGGUCCGACCGUACCGGUACAUUUUUAGCAUCGUACGUUGCCCGAGGAGGGGUACGAUGCGUCUUCAUAUCCUUAGAGGUAUGAAGGCAGAAGUCAUCCUUGCAUUUGCAGACAUUUGCACUCAUGAGGCAUAUAUGAAGUGUGACAUUACUAUGUUACUAUUGUGGUUUCCACCUGCAAGGUGUGGUGACUAGGUGUGUUGUACGUUGUAUACGUGCUGCACCUUCGUAAUAAGAAGGUUGUGGAAUCAAGUGGUGGUAAAACAAUGUUCUUAUGUGGUUAAACAGUUUGAUAUUACUUUACUUGCUGAGAUGUGUCAUCUCACUCUUGCAUUACUCAAUGCAGGUACUUUAUACAUGCUGGGAAUGAGGGGAGUAGCAGCACGUCCACUUUCACUCUCACAAUAACGCUGCCCAGGCGCAGCCAUGAUUUAAUUAGAACUUAUUGUCAAAGGAAGUUUGUUUUUUAACUAGUCGUGCGCACUAGUUAAUUCAGAUCAUGUCGUAUGUUUAACUUCUCUUUGCUAGCCGAUUAAUAAUACUUAGUAUGUUUUUGUCAUGAUAUAUGUUUAUACACUGUUGCCCCCUCAUUUAUGCAAUUUGCAAAGGGGGUGCUGCCGAAAUUUUAUAUAUAGAUGUCAGAAGUGUUGUUUAGUAGCAUUCCGGGGUGUUUGUGGACCCCGGGGUGUUACAGUUGGUAUCAGAGGAUAGGCUAUAGAUUCUACGCAAUUUGAAGAUAAAUUUGACACACUUGCACAUAUAGGAAGGGUAUGGGUUCGUAUAUCUUUCAUAUUAAUAUUUUAUUGUAUAGAUGACUAGAACUUCCUUACUCCAAAUCCCUUUAUGGUUUGAUGGGGUAUGUCGUUAACGAUGUAAUGCUUGAUAUGAUAUGUUACUUCUAUUUAAUAUUGGUUUCUUGAUGUGGUUGUUAUUGAAGAUAUUAUGCAAGUGAAGCUACUAAUGUACUUGUUUUAUAUACAUAUCGUCAUGAUGUUUUUUUGGGAUGUAAUGUUUUCAAAUCUCUGAGAUAUUACCAUCAUAUAUUUCUAUAUGCUUGACUGUGGAUGUUUUUUUCCCAAAAGGAUUUUUGGGUUCUUGUACUUAUAGGACCGAUUGUUUAUUGAGCUUGUGUAUAUUGGGUCUAAUCCGACUUGGUGUAGUGUGAAAACACUAUAUAAUGUAGUUUUAUGGUGUUGUUGAGUUUGAUUGACUGUUGGGUAACAACCCAACUUAUCAAUGUAAUAUUUCCAUGGGUGCAAUGCUUUGCACCUCACUUUUUUUAGGCUAGUGUGGCUACUUGCUAACUUGAUCUUAGUAUAUAAUUGGUUUGUCUCUAUAGAGCAGAGGCAACGUUGUAAUGUCUAUGAAAUCUUUAGACUGUUAGAAUUCGAGUGAAUUUGUGAGAUGACGUAGAUUGAUAAGUCCAACCAUGUCUACCUGAUAGGUUUUCUUAUUAUGUGCAACCUUAUUUUUAACAAUAAAUAGGGUGGUUUCAAGUGGAUUUUAUGUCGUGCAUGUUUUCCUUCUAUGGCUUGUUUCAAUAGCCAUAAAGGCUAUGCAUAGUUUUUAGUUGUUGCAGGCUAGUCAUGUGGGCGAUAUUGACAACCCGUUUUAUAUUUUUUUUAUUUGCCAACAUUGUAUGGCAGUUCGAUUUUUUUAUGAGCAGUUUCUCUAUGCAUGCUUGUUGAAUCAUUAUUUGGACAGCUUUAUCUUAAACGAAGUCAAUGCUUAACUGGGAGUUGCUUAUGUUUGUUAGUCAUCUAUCUCUUUAAUGAUGGGGUUGUUGCAUCGGAUUGAGAUUUUUCUUAUAUGAAUGAUGGUUUGAUAGAUCAUGUAUGUCUACUACUUUGAAUGCAUCCUGUGAUAUCACGAGGUACAAAUUGUUCAAGUGCAGUAAUAGUAGGUUUUGUGGUAUGUGAGGUUAAUCAAGGUAGCUUGGUUAUGUGGAUUGUCGUAUUGACGUCCAAUUACUCCUGUUGAGCAUAGUAUCGUGUUAUUAUUUUAGUAUUGAAAGUAAUAUUUAUGAAGCUUUUGCAUGAGUCUGUGUCAAGAAGUACAUUAGUUUUCUUGUUGUUAUCCCUCCAUUGCUUUAUGAGUAUUGCAAAUUUUAUCUCUUUUGAGAGGAGGAAAAUACGUUACAUGACAUGAGCACCAUUUGCUUCACGUCAACAUAAUAGUUGUGGAGAGCUCUAAUAGUUGGAUUCUAGUGUAAUAGCAACCAUGUUUUAUAGUGCUAGAGGUGGGUAUGUCAGGUGUUUCAUGCAUUGUCGAUACAUGGAUGUUUGACCUUAGUGGCAUUAACAAACGAGGUUGAUGAAUUCGUUGAUUGUUGUGCUUAGUGUUCUAACCUAUUAGGUAAAGUGUGGUUUAAAGGUUUUGGGGAGUUGAAUCCCCAUUUGGUAGUGGAAAAUCCUAGUGUGGGUCGCACCUGCCAAUGCCUUGGGUUUUAUUUUAUAUUGUUUUUUUAUUAUGGGUAAGGUGUUGUUUUGUUUUGGGAGUCAUUUUAAAUUAGUUGGAGGCUGAAUCAGGCUUCACUUAUCUAGAAUGUUUUGUAGUAGGUUUCUUCAUCUUUGUAUAGGAUGCUCAAUCACCCAGUUUGGUCUAAACAUUUGAGAGUUAUGGGUUUCCUAUAGCAGCCUUAAUUUUGUACGGAAGUAUAGACAUUGAAUACGGUAAAUUUUGGGUUUUGUUGGAUUAUGAAAGUUUUAGUAAUUUCAUGAUCUUCCCAAAGAGUAUUGGUUUGUAAUUUUCAUUGCAUAUAAUUGGAGUUAGGCUACUCUGAAGUUGUUGCACCGUUGUGUCUGAACUUUAGGUGUCGUUAAAACCACUAAUAAAUCGACCGCGUUUUGAUAGUUUCAGAGCCCAAAUUUGGGAAUUCUCUUUAGUUUUUCUUAGUACCUUUUAAUGGGUAUUUACUUGUAAUUGUCUGUUAAAUAGAUUGGGAGAGGUGGUUGUCCGGAUAUAAGUCGAAUCUCUGAUGUGCAGUAUCUCAGGCUGAGUUUAGUUGUAGGUCAUGCAGAGUUGAGGGCUAUAAAGAUAAAUUUGGGUGCAACUUUGUUGCAAAAGUCGUGGACAAUUUCCAAACUUUUCCAACGCGUGUUCGUUGUAGUUUUAAGUUGAGUAUAGCAGGAGUUAUAGUAUUUUGAAUUUUAGUUGUCCAUUGUUUCUAACCUAUCAGUUUUGCAACAAAGCAGUUGCAUUGUUUUAUUGGUUUGGAAACCAAAUCUGAGACACUCAUUAUAAUAAAAGUUUUAGGGAAUAUUAUAAUAUUUUCAAUGAGUUUAUAUUUGUAAAAUUUUGUUAGAUGCAGAGAGUUAUGAGGUUUUGAAUUUAUGGGUCAUGUUCCGUCAGGUUCUGGUGGCAGAUCAUGUAUGUCGCCCUACAAGUCAAAUUAAAAAAAUGGAGAUAAAAUAAAACUUUGUUUAUCCUUUGAAUACAAAAGUUGAAGGUCAUGAAUUUUAGAUGAUUUUACAAUAUUUCUUUGUUAACAUUGCUUUUAUAGUGAAAGAGGUAGAGACAGAAUGAGCAUUUGUGUUGUUGAUUGUCAAUUUUCUAUUUAGGGAUAUUUCUUUGGGAGUUUGGUUUAGUUAUGGUGAGCUCUUUCGCAAACCAUGUUAAUUAUGUUGUAUGGUGGGAGGGAAUAGAUGUAGUGGUUGUGAUAGUUAUCUUGUUAUUGUAUAUGCGGAGCGUGGGCUGAAACAGAGAGAUAGCGAGGGAUAUUUGAAUAGGCCAGUACGUAUUGUUGUGAAGCCAUGUUUUCUGGUCUUGGCGUGUUUGCGUAAGUAUGAAAUAGUUACGUCGUGUGAAGUCUAGGUGGAGAUGCAGAUUGUGUGAGUUAUUGGAUGGAUAUAUAUAUGCAUAGUAUAAUUAAAAAAAGAGAGAGUUCUUCGAUGGGAUGAUAUAAUGUAUAGAAUGUGCUUGGAUGGAUAUAUGGGCAAGCAUAGUAUGCUUAAAUCGAUUCUUGCUUGCAUGAUGUGAGAUCGGGCUUAAAAUGAUUUAAAAAGUAAACAUAUUGCUUCUACCCUUAUGUUGGCUCUAAGUGUCUCAUAAUGAAGAACCUAAAGUUAUUAGUCCUUCGAUGAACGCUUAAUCUUAGAAGAGUAUAGAACCUGAAUAAAUCUAUUGCUUGUUGUUUGGGACUACAUGACCAGUUUUGGUUAUGCCGCUAGUUAAAUGAAUUACACCAUGUUUUCGGUAGAGGUGUUGUAUAUAAAAAGUUGUAGCCAACUUCUUCAUCUUACUUGUGUAAAAUUUCAUUACCAUAGGUCUAGUAGUUUGGGAGUUAUGAUUUUCUCAAGUCUAGUCUUGGAAUCUGUCCAGAUUCUAUACAGAUUUCGAAACUGACCUUGUUUGCCCAAGUUAAACUUCGAAUCAGUUCUUAUAAAUUAUAAAGAAGUGGUAGUACUUUCCUUAAGCUUUCCAACAAAUUUUGGAUCACCCUUUUUGUUGACCUAUAAGUUAAGCUACAGCUGUUUUAAUUGGAAUCUUUGAAUCUGUCCAAAAUUGGACAGCAAAGCCUUUCUUAUGUCUUUUGAUCAUGAUAUGCAUUGAAUUAACCUGAUAGGUUUAUAAAUGAAAUAUAGACAAUUUUACUGGCUUUCUAAAAAGUCUAGGAGCACCUGAAUUGGAUGACUGAGACUCCAAUUAUGGAUUUUUGAAGUGAGUAGUUGAAUUCUGUCCAAGUCUGGACAAAAUUUACGCUUCACAUUGUUUGGCCUUUCUAAGUGUCAAAUCUUGUGGUGAUGAUAAUACCAAGGGUAUAAUGGACUUUGUAAGCUUUCCAUAAAGUCCUAGUUUACUUCUAUUGGAUGCAUAUUUUGUGAGUUAUGAGGAAAACAAAUAACCAUUGUGCUGCUGUCUAGAAAUAUGCAAGCAUUAAAUUGAUCUUUUGAAGUUACUCUUGUUUGGAUAGGUUUGGUUUAGGCUAUUUGAGCAUAGUAUGUAUUGCAUUCAUAUAUAUAUAUUCAUUGAAGUACUUGCAUGUGUCAAUGUUGAUUUGGUGUCAGGAAAGCUUUGUCCGAGUUAUAUAGGACUGUCUACUAUCUUAGCCCGAGUUGGCAGCUUGGCUUAGCACCUACAAUUGUCGGAGUCUAUGAUCAGAGUACACCUGUAUUCCAUGUCUUUAUGUUGAGGAAGUAUUUGCAGAAUCCAGACCAUCAAAUCGAGCUAGAGCCGAUUCCUGUGUAGCAAGACCGGACUCUAGAGUGUUGUCUGCUGCGUAUCUUAGAAUCCUAGGAGCUUGAGGAGCUGAUGCGGCAGAAGUACCCGAACCUUUCUUUAUGUGUGAGUUUUGUUGAUUCAUUGAUCUUUCCUUGUCAUUCUGAUAGAAGCGUCGGAAUUCGAGGUCGAAUUCUUUUUAAGGGGGGUAGAGUGUGAUACCCAAUUUUCUGAAAAGAAGUUAAAUUUAUUUUUCCAUUUUCUUUCGUGAUCUGUGUAGUUGGGGUUGGAGUUUUUUUAGGAAGCAUUCACCAGUAAAAUAAUAGAUUACUUGUUGGAUUUGUGCGUUGGGGUCGGGAGCAGACGUGAGAGCGAGUUUGGGCUGUGGAUAUCGAUCCGGCGGUGGGGAGCCCAUUAGUUUCCCCCCCUUAACCCUAGCCGCCCCCUCCCUCUCACUCCCCCACCCCUUUGGCCGCCCCCACCCCCUCUCUCUUCCACUCUUGCAGCCGCCCCAAUCCCUCUCCUUCUUCUCCAAGUGAUUGCAGCUCCACCCCUCAACCCUAGCCCCCCCCACCUCUUCCUCUCCAAGGUGGAGCCUCCCCGCUUGGUGUCCGUCGUGUGGGUGCGAGUCUUCCAUGGGAGUUUGGAGGGAGGAAGAAGGAAUAAAAUAAGGAGGAAAAGAGGAACCCAAGGUGAUUUUCGUGAUCAUUUUGUUGUAUUUGUGCUGCAAUCCAAUUGGUUAUAUGUUUACCUAUGCAAUUUGGUAGAGGUGCUGUCCAGAAAUUUAGUGGGUGGACGAACAGCAGUAGUUCUAGAGAUUUCUGCGAAUUUUUCGUGGGCAAUUAGUGGGGUUCAGUGAGAGAAUCAUGUAGAGCUUUGUCAUACCUUUCCAACGAGUACUUAUGCGCUCUAUUCGGAGUUAUAAUUUAGGAGAUAUCGUUGUUUGAAUCUGGUUAUGUUGCUGUCCAAAAAAAACAGAUUUUUCAGGUGGGUGAACAGCAGUAGUAUUAGCAGUUUCUGGGAAUUUUUCGUGGGUAAUUAGUGUUAACCAGUAUGAUAAUCAUGUAUGGCUUUGUCUUAUCUUUCCAAUGAGUACUUAUGCGCUUGAUUUUGAAUUAUAUUUUAAAAGAUAUCGCUGUUUGAAUCCGGGUAUGUCGCUGUCCAAAAGACAAAAAAAUAGAUUACAGGGUUCAACUUGUGGACUGUUUUGGGCUAAUUAGAUGUUAGAAUUUAAUUAUAAAUUGUAUACAAAACUUGUGGGGAAUUUUAUGUAGAUGCCUCUGGAGUUUUUGUUUGUUACCACUGCUGUCAUAAUUUUAAAGUUAUGAAAUUAUUAAGCAGCGCCGCUGCAGUUUGGUGGGAGUGGGGAGAGAUGUAACCCGCGGCGGGGUUUGAGUUUGUGCGUAGGUGCGGCGUCGUUUAUGAGCCUGAUUAUGUGAAAUUGGUGCACUAAGUUGUGUGUCAAAAACAGGUGGUGGACUUCCGGAUCGUACUUAGGGAUUUGCCCGAACUCCCGGUAAAGGCAAGUAAAUACAGUGGUGGUUGCUACCGUUUGGGUUGCAUCCUAAUCCCUGUCAUUGAGUAUGCAUAAGUUUUAAUUAUGUUAAUCAUUGAAUUCUAUGAUGAAGUUUAUUUGUUUGGAAUUAUUAAUUAUCAAUUGUCUAGUAUUGUGGAUGAUCAUAAUUUGGUAAUGAUAUAUGUGGUUGAUUCCCAUCUUGGAUGAAGUUGAAGUAUUUUUUUGAAUCACGUUAUAUGAAGUGUUGUAGGCAUGACAUGCACAUCGCAUCAUCCAUCUUGCAUUUUGAAGUUAUGUCGCGAUCCUAUGGUCCGACCGUACCGGUACAUUUUUAGCAUCGUACGUUGCCCGAGGAGGGGUACGAUGCGGCUUCAUAUCCUUAGAGGUAUGAAGGCAGAAGUCAUCCUUGCAUUUGCAGACAUUUGCACUCAUGAGGCAUAUAUGAAGUGUGACAUUACUAUGUUACUAUUGUGGUUUCCACCUGCGAGGUGUGGUGACUAGGUGUGUUGUACGUUGUAUACAUGCUGCACCUUCGUAAUAAGAAGGUUGUGGAAUCAAGUGGUGGUAAAACAAUGUUCUUAUGUGGUUAAACAGUUUGAUAUUAUUUUACUUGCUGAGAUGUGUCAUCUCACUCUUGCAUUACUCAAUGCAGGUACUUUAUACAUGUUGGGAAUGAGGGGAGUAGCAACACGUCCACUUUCACUCUCACAAUAACGCUGCCCGGGCGCAGCCAUGAUUUAAUUAGAACUUAUUGUCAAAGGAAGUUUGUUUUUUAACUAGUCAUGCACACUAGUUAAUUCAGAUCAUGUCGUAUGUUUAACUUCUCUUUGCUAGCCGAUUAAUAAUACUUAGUAUGUUUUUGUCAUGAUAUAUGUUUAUACACUGUUGCCCCCUCAUUUAUGCAAUUUGCAAAGGGGAUGCUACCGAAAUUUUAUAUAUAGAUGUCAGAAGUGUUGUUUAGUAGCAUUCUGGGGUGUUUGUGGACCCCGGGGUGUUACAGUUGGUAUCAGAGGAUAGGCUGUAGAUUCUACACAAUUUGAAGAUAAAUUUGACACACUUGCACAUAUAGGAAGGGUAUGGGUUCGUAUAUCUUUCAUAUUAGUAUUUUAUUGUAUAGAUGACUAGAACUUCCUUACUCCAAAUCCCUUUAUGGUUUGAUGGGGUAUGUCGUUAACGAUGUAAUGCUUGAUAUGAUAUGAUAUGUUACUUCUAUUUAAUAUUGGUUUCUUGAUGUGGUUGUUAUUGAAGAUAUUAUGCAAGUGAAGCUACUAAUGUACUUGUUUUAUAUACAUAUCGUCAUGAUGUUUUUUUGGGAUGCAAUGUUUUCAAAUCUCUGAGCUAUUACCAUCAUAUAUUUCUAUAUGCUUGAUUGUGGAUGUUUUUUUCCCAAAAGGAUUUUUGGGUUCUUGUACUUAUAGGACCGAUUGUUUAUUGAGCUUGUGUAUAUUGGGUCUAAUCUGACUUGGUGUAGUGUGAAAACACUAUAUAAUGUAGUUUUAUGGUGUUGUUGAGUUUGAUUGACUGUUGGGUAACAACCCAACUUAUCAAUGUAAUAUUUCCAUGGGUGCAAUGCUUUGCACCUCACUUUUUUAGGCUAGUGUGGCUACUUGCUAACUUGAUCUUAGUAUAUAAUUGGUUUGUCUCUAUAGAGCAGAGGCAACAUUGUAAUGUCUAUGAAAUCUUUAGACUGUUAGAAUUCGAGUGAAUUUGUGAGAUGACGUAGAUUGAUAAGUCCAACCAUGUCUACCUGAUAGGUUUUCUUAUUAUGUGCAACCUUAUUUUUAACAAUAAAUAGGGUGGUUUCAAGUGGAUUUUAUGUCGUGCAUGUUUUCCUUCUAUGGCUUGUUUCAAUAGCCAUAAAGGCUAUGCAUAGUUUUUAGUUGUUGCAGGCUAGUCAUGUGGGCGAUAUUGACAACCCGUUUUAUAUUUUUUAUUUGCCAACAUUGUAUGGUAGUUCGAUUUUUUUAUGAGCAGUUUCUCUAUGCAUGCUUGUUGAAUCAUUAUUUGGACAACUUUAUCUUAAACGAAGUCAAUGCUUAACUGGGAGUUGCUUAUGUUUGUUAGUCAUCUAUCUCUUUAAUGAUGGGGUUGUUGCAUCGGAUUGAGAUUUUUCUUAUAUGAAUGAUGGUUUGAUAGAUCAUGUAUGUCUACUACUUCGAAUGCAUCCUGUGAUAUCACGAGGUACAAAUUGUUCAAGUGCAGUAAUAGUAGGUUUUGUGGUAUGUGAGGUUAAUCAAGGUAGCUUGGUUAUGUGGAUUGUCGUAUUGACGUCCAAUUACUCCUGUUGAGCAUAGUAUCGUGUUAUUAUUUUAGUAUUGAAAGUAAUAUUUAUGAAGCUUUUGCAUGAGUCUGUGUCAAGAAGUACAUUAGUUUUCUUGUUGUUAUCCCUCCAUUGCUUUAUGAGUAUUGCAAAUUUUAUCUCUUUUGAGAGGAGGAAAAUACGUUACAUGACAUGAGCACCAUUUGCUUCACGUCAACAUAAUAGUUGUGGAGAGCUCUAAUAGUUGGAUUCUAGUGUAAUAACAACCAUGUUUUAUAGUGCUAGAGGUGGGUAUGUCAGGUGUUUCAUGCAUUGUCGAUACAUGGAUGUUUGACCUUAGUGGCAUUAACAAACGAGGUUGAUGAAUUCGUUGAUUGUUGUGCUUAGUGUUCUAACCUAUUAGGUAAAGUGUGGUUUAAAGGUUUUGGGGAGUUGAAUCCCCAUUUGGUAGUGGAAAAUCCUAGUGUGGGUCGCACCUGCCAAUGCCUUGGGUUUUAUUUUAUAUUGUUUUUUUUUAUUAUGGGUAAGGUGUUGUUUUGUUUUGGGAGUCAUUUUAAAUUAGUUGGAGGCUGAAUCAGGCUUCACUUAUCUAGAAUGUUUUGUAGUAGGUUUCUUCAUCUUUGUAUAGGAUGCUCAAUCACCCAGUUUGGUCUAAACAUUUGAGAGUUAUGGGUUUCCUAUAGCAGCCUUAAUUUUGUACGGAAGUAUAGACAUUGAAUACGGUAAAUUUUGGGUUUUGUUGGAUUAUGAAAGUUUUAGUAAUUUCAUGAUCUUCCCAAAGAGUAUUGGUUUGUAAUUUUCAUUGCAUAUAAUUGGAGUUAGGCUACUCUGAAGUUGUUGCACCGUUGUGUCUGAACUUUAGGUGUCGUUAAAACCACUAAUAAAUCGACCGCGUUUUGAUAGUUUCAGAGCCCAAAUUUGGGAAUUCUCUUUAGUUUUUCUUAGUACCUUUUAAUGGGUAUUUACUUGUAAUUGUCUGUUAAAUAGAUUGGGAGAGGUGGUUGUCCGGAUAUAAGUCGAAUCUCUGAUGUGCAGUAUCUCAGGCUGAGUUUAGUUGUAGGUCAUGCAGAGUUGAGGGCUAUAAAGAUAAAUUUGGGUGCAACUUUGUUGCAAAAGUCGUGGACAAUUUCCAAACUUUUCCAACGCGUGUUCGUUGUAGUUUUAAGUUGAGUAUAGCAGGAGUUAUAGUAUUUUGAAUUUUAGUUGUCCAUUGUUUCUAACCUAUCAGUUUUGCAACAAAGCAGUUGCAUUGUUUUAUUGGUUUGGAAACCAAUUCUGAGACACUCAUUAUAAUAAAAGUUUUAGGGAAUAUUAUAAUAUUUUCAAUGAGUUUAUAUUUGUAAAAUUUUGUUAGAUGCAGAGAGUUAUGAGGUUUUGAAUUUAUGGGUCAUGUUCCGUCAGGUUCUGGUGGCAGAUCAUGUAUGUCGCCCUACAAGUCAAAUUAAAAAAAUGGAGAUAAAAUAAAACUUUGUUUAUCCUUUGAAUACAAAAGUUGUAGGUCAUGAAUUUUAGAUGAUUUUACAAUAUUUCUUUGUUAACAUUGCUUUUAUAGUGAAAGAGGUAGAGACAGAAUGAGCAUUUGUGCUGUUGAUUGUCAAUUUUCUAUUUAGGGAUAUUUCUUUGGGAGUUUGGUUUAGUUAUGGUGAGCUCUUUCGCAAACCAUGUUAAUUAUGUUGUAUGGUGGGAGGGAAUAGAUGUAGUGGUUGUGAUAGUUAUCUUGUUAUUGUAUAUGCGGAGCGUGGGCUGAAACAGAGAGAUAGAGAGGGAUAUUUGAAUAGGCCAGUACGUAUUGUUGUGAAGCCAUGUUUUCUGGUCUUGGCGUGUUUGCGUAAGUAUGAAAUAGUUACGUCGUGUGAAGUCUAGGUGGAGAUGCAGAUUGUGUGAGUUAUUGGAUGGAUAUAUAUAUGCAUAGUAUAAUUAAAAAAAAGAGAGAGUUCUUCGAUGGGAUGAUAUAAUGUAUAGAAUGUGCUUGGAUGGAUAUAUGGGCAGACAUAGUAUGCUUAAAUCGAUUCUUGCUUGCAUGAUGUGAGAUCAGGCUUAAAAUGAUUUAAAAAGUAAACAUAUUGCUUCUACCCUUAUGUUGGCUCUAAGUGUCUCGUAAUGAAGAACCUAAAGUUAUUAGUCCUUCGAUGAACGCUUAAUCUUAGAAGAGUAUAGAACCUGAAUAAAUCUAUUGCUUGUUGUUUGGGACUACAUGACCAGUUUUGGUUAUGCCGCUAGUUCAAUGAAUUACACCAUGUUUUCGGUAGAGGUGUUGUAUAUAAAAAGUUGUAGCCAACUUCUUCAUCUUACUUGUGUAAAAUUUCAUGACCAUAGGUCUAGUAGUUUGGGAGUUAUGAUUUUCUCAAGUCUAGUCUUGGAAUCUGUCCAGAUUCUGUACAGAUUUCGAAACUGACCUUGUUUGCCCAAGUUAAACUUCGAAUCAGUUCUUAUAAAUUAUAAAGAAGUGGUAGUAAUUUCCUUAAGCUUUCCAACAAAUUUUGGAUCACCCUUUUUGUUGACCUAUAAGUUAAGCUACAGCUGUUUUAAUUGGAAUCUUUGAAUCUGUCCAAAAUUGGACAGCAAAGCCUUUCUUAUGUCUUUUGAUCAUGAUAUGCAUUGAAUUAACCUGAUAGGUUUAUAAAUGAAAUAUAGACAAUUUUACUGGCUUUCUAAAAAAGUCUAGGAGCACCUGAAUUGGAUGACUGAGACUCCAAUUAUGGAUUUUUGAAGUGAGUAGUUGAAUUCUGUCCAAGUCUGGACAAAAUUUACGCUUCACAUUGUUUGGCCUUUCUAAGUGUCAAAUCUUGUGGUGAUGAUAAUACCAAGGGUAUAGUGGACUUUGUAAGCUUUCCAUAAAGUCCUAGUUUACUUCUAUUGGAUGCAUAUUUUGUGAGUUAUGAGGAAAACAAAUAACCAUUGUGCUGCUGUCUAGAAAUAUGCAAGCAUUAAAUUGAUCUUUUGAAGUUACUCUUGUUUGGAUAGGUUUGGUUUAGGCUAUUUGAGCAUAGUAUGUAUUGCAUUCAUAUAUAUAUUCAUUGAAGUACUUGCAUGUGUCAAUGUUGAUUUGGUGUCAGGAAAGCUUUGUCCGAGUUAUAUAGGACCGUCUACUAUCUUAGCCCGAGUUGGCAGCUUGGCUUAGCACCUACAAUUGUCGGAGUCUAUGAUCAGAGUACACCAUGUAUUCCAUGUCUUUAUGUUGAGGAAGUAUUUGCAGAAUCCAGACCAUCAAAUCGAGCUAGAGCCGAUUCCUGUGUAGCAAGACCAGACUCUAGAGUGUCGUCUGCUGCGUAUCUUAGAAUCCUAGGAGCUUGAGGAGCUGAUGCGGCAGAAGUACCCGAACCUUUCUUUAUGUGUGAGUUUUGUUGAUUCAUUGAUCUUUCCUUGUCGUUCUGAUAGAAGCGUCGGAAUUCGAGGUCGAAUUCUUUUUAAGGGGGGUAGAGUGUGAUACCCAAUUUUCUGAAAAGAAGUUAAAUUUAUUUUUCCAUUUUCUUUCGUGAUCUGUGUAGUUGGGGUUGGAGUUUUUUUAGGAAGCAUUCACCAGUAAAACGGUAGAUUACUUGUUGGAUUUGUGCGCUGGGGUCGGGAGCAUACGUGAGAGCGAGUUUGGGCCGUGGAUCUCGAUCCGGCGGUGGGGAGCCCAUUAGUUUCCCCCCCCUUAACCCUAGCCGCCCUCUCCCUCUCACUCCCCCACCCCUUUGGCCGCCCCCACCCCCUCUCUCUUCCACUCUUGCAGCCGCCCCAAUCCCUCUCCUUCUUCUCCAAGUGAUUGCAGCUCCACCCCUCAACCCUAGCCGCCCCCCCCACCUCUUCCUCUCCAAGGUGGAGCCUCCCCGCUUGGUGUCCGUCGUGUGGGUGCGAGUCUUCCAUGGGAGUUUGGAGGGAGGAAGAAGGAAGAAAAGGAGGAAAAGAGGAACCCAAGGUGAUUUUCGUGAUCAUUUUGUUGUAUUUGUGCUGCAAUCCAAUUGGUUAUAUGUUUACCUAUGCAAUUUGGUAGAGGUGUUGUCCAGAAAUUUAGUGGGUGGACGAACAGCAGUAGUUCUAGUAUUUCUGGGAAUUUUUCGUGGACAAUUAGUGGAGAUCAGUGAGAGAAGCAUGUAGAGCUUUGUCAUACCUUUCCAACGAGUUAUGCACUCGAUUCGGAGUUAUAAUUUAGGAGAUAUCGUUGUUUGAAUCUGGUUAUGUUGCUGUAAAAAAAACAGAUUUUUUCUGGUGGGUGAACAGCAGUAGUAUUAGCAGUUUCUGGGAAUUUUUCGUGGGUAAUUAAUGUUAACCAGUAUGAUAAUCAUGUAGGGCUUUGUCUUAUCUUUCCAAUGAGUACUUAUGCGCUUGAUUUGGAAUUAUAUUUUAAAAGAUAUCGCUGUUUGAAUCCGGGUAUGUCGCUGUCCAAAAGACGAAAAAACAGAUUACAGGGUUCAUCUUGUGGACUGUUUUGGGCUAAUUAGAUGUUGGAAUUUAAUUAUAAAUUGUAUACAAAACUUGUGGGGAAUUUUAUGUAGAUGCCUCUGGAGUUUUUGUUUGUUACCACUGCUGUCAUAAUUUUAAAGUUAUGCAAUUAUUAAACAGCGCCGCUGCAGUUUGGUGGGAGUGGGGAGAGAUGUAACCCGCGGCGGGGUUUGAGUUUGUGCGUAGGUGCGGCGUCGUUUAUGAGCCUGAUUAUGUGAAAUUGGUGCACUAAGUUGUGUGUCAAAAACAGGUGGUGGACUUCCGGAUCGUACUUAGUGAUUUGCCCGAACUCCCGGUAAAGGCAAGUAAAUACAGUGGUGGUUGCUACCGUUUGGGUUGCAUCCUAAUCCCUGUCAUUGAGUAUGCAUAAGUUUUAAUUAUGUUAAUCAUUGAAUUCUAUGAUGAAGUUUAUUUGUUUGGAAGUAUUAAUUAUCAAUUGUCUAAUAUUGUGGAUGAUCAUAAUUUGGUAAUGAUAUAUGUGGUUGAUUCCCAUCUUGGAUGAAGUUGAAGUAUUUUUUGAAUCACGUUAUAUGAAGUGUUGUAGGCAUGACAUGCACAUCACAUCAUCCAUCUUGCAUUUUGAAGUUAUGUCGCGAUCCUAUGGUCUGACCGUACCGGUACAUUUUUAGCAUCGUACGUUGCUCGAGGAGGGGUACGAUGCGGCUUCAUAUCCUUAGAGGUAUGAAGGCAGAAGUCAUCCUUGCAUUUGCAGACAUUUGCACUCAUGAGACAUAUAUGAAGUGUGACAUUACUAUGUUACUAUUGUGGUUUCCACCUGCAAGGUGUGGUGACUAGGUGUGUUGUACGUUGUAUACGUGCUGCACCUUCGUAAUAAGAAGGUUGUGGAAUCAAGUGGUGGUAAAACAAUGUUCUUAUGUGGUUAAACAGUUUGAUAUUACUUUACUUGCUGAGAUGUGUCAUCUCACUCUUGCAUUACUCAAUGCAGGUACUUUAUACAUGCUGGGAAUGAGGGGAGUAGCAGCACGUCCACUUUCACUCUCACAAUAACGCUGCCCAGGCGCAGCCAUGAUUUAAUUAGAACUUAUUGUCAAAGGAAGUUUGUUUUUUAACUAGUCGUGCGCACUAGUUAAUUCAGAUCAUGUCAUAUGUUUAACUUCUCUUUGCUAGCCGAUUAAUAAUACUUAGUAUGUUUUUGUCAUGAUAUAUGUUUAUACACUAUUGCCCCCUCAUUUAUGCAAUUUGCAAAGGGGAUGCUGCCGAAAUUUUAUAUAUAG